UUUUCCCCUUUUUCUUUCGUUCUCCUCUCGGCGCGGCCCGCUGCGUGUUGCGCUUAUCCUCUCGGGGACCUCGCGCUCUCGCUCGCUCGAUCGGCAAGCCAAGCCCCGGCCCCCUCGAUCCCCUCAACCCCAACCUCCUCCACCGUCGCAUCCGUUAAAAUUAGCCUCUCGCCUCACCUCUCUCUCUCUCACGAGGACGACCGGGGAGCACGGCGCACCGGAGGAGGCGGCCUCGUCCCCCGCCCUCUCCCCCUCCUCUCGAUUCCUGCGGUUCAGGUUUCUUUGCCAAUCUAUCAACUCAGCUGGUGUCUUAGGAGCUUCUUCAACGCCAGACAAGGUUCGCGUGCGCGAGGGUGAGGAGAGGAGCUAGGGUUUUGCUGGUUCGGCUCGCGAGGGCGAGGAGAGGAGCUAGGGUUUUGCUGGUUCGGCUCGUGGUGGAGAU